GACGAACGCUGGCGGCGUGCUUAACACAUGCAAGUCGAACGCUGAAGCUUGGUGCUUGCACUGGGUGGAUGAGUGGCGAACGGGUGAGUAAUACGUGAGUAACCUGCCCUUGACUCUGGGAUAAGCCUGGGAAACUGGGUCUAAUACUGGAUACGACAUGCCACUGCAUGGUGGUGUGUGGAAAGGGUUUUACUGGUUUUGGAUGGGCUCACGGCCUAUCAGCUUGUUGGUGGGGUAAUGGCCUACCAAGGCGACGACGGGUAGCCGGCCUGAGAGGGUGACCGUCCACACUGGGACUGAGACACGGCCCAGACUCCUACGGGAGGCAGCAGUGGGGAAUAUUGCACAAUGGGCGGAAGCCUGAUGCAGCGACGCCGCGUGAGGGAUGACGGCCUUCGGGUUGUAAACCUCUUUCAGCACGGAAGAAGCGAGAGUGACGGUACGUGCAGAAGAAGCGCCGGCUAACUACGUG
rnacentral:rRNA from 1 species